rnacentral:tRNA from 1 species
GCCUUCGUGGCGGAAUUGGUAGACGCGCCGGUCUUAGAAACCGGUGCUUACGCGUAUCGGUUCGAGUCCGAUCGAAGGCA